rnacentral:rRNA from 1 species
UACGGAGGGGGCUAGCGUUGUUCGGAAUUACUGGGCGUAAAGCGCACGUAGGCGGCUUUGUAAGUUAGAGGUGAAAGCCCGGGGCUCAACCCCGGAAUUGCCUUUAAGACUGCAUCGCUAGAAUUGUGGAGAGGUAAGUGGAAUUCCGAGUGUAGAGGUGAAAUUCGUAGAUAUUCGGAAGAACACCAGUGGCGAAGGCGACUCACUGGACACGUAUUGACGCUGAGGUGCGAAAGCGUGGGGAGCGAACAGG